GUAGAUGCAGUGCCUGGAGAAUAGGUGUGCUGUCUGGAGAAUAGGUGUGCUGUCUGGAGAAUAGGUGUACUGUCUGGAGAAUAGGUGUACUGUCUGGAGAAUAGGUGUACUGUCUGGAGAAUAGGUGUGCUGUCUCAUUGCAGAAAAGAAACACAAAACUGAACUGACUGAAGCACUCCAUCUUAACCAGUGUGUCAUUUACAUGUUAAUUAAUGGAUGUUAUAACCAUGUCAACUACAGGAUGUUAACUCCAUGUUAACUAAUGGAUGUUACAGUUGUGCUCAAAAGUUUGCAUACCCUUGGAAAAUUGGUAAUAAACAGCUCCAGAAAAAAAUUAAGAGACCACUGCACCUUUUUCUUUCCUUUCCAAAAAGGUUGAAAAGGAAAAGAGGAACAGAAGCGUUCAAUUUACAGUGGUCUCUUAAUUUUAACCCUUCUGUUCCUCACUCAAAAUAUUCUCCUGAGGUUACCUGUGGGUUUUUCUUUGUAUCCUGA
ensembl:lncRNA